GGGCCUCUUAACCCCACUCCAGGCGUAGAUAACGAAGGAGACAGUUCAAGAGAGGCAUGAAUAUGCCAAUGCCUUCUCCUCCGUCAACUCCACAGCAGUCGCAUCCAUUUUCUUCCUCGAGAACUCAUCAAUUGGAAGCCCUGAUAGCAUCAUAGGCAGAGAUAUUAAUGAUCAAUCACUUUUCUCCUUUACUUUGUACUACAUAUCAGUUGAUUAUUCAGAAAGUUUUAUGGCAUAAAACUGUGCAAAACAAGAUGAGUAAUUCUAUUACCAGAAUAUGAUACUAAGCUAGAUAAACUACAUGGAGAAGCAGCUUGAUUCUUGGAAAUACUUCAAUACGAUGGAUAAAUUCUUGAAAAUACUUCAAUAUGAAGGAUGAUAUUAUUUAGGAAGAUUCUAUUCAGCCAAUCUGCAGAAUGCAGAUGAUACCAAAAUUAUGUGUGAACACACUGGAUUCCAAACAUAAGCCUGCACCAUAAUGCAUUGGUUAUAAAACUAAUGCCACUUCAUAGGCUGAUUGACCGUUUCUACAAAGUGCAACAACAUCCAAUUACAAAGUGGGUUUUCAUCUCAGGAUAGUCAGCCUGAGAUAUAGUUUGGAUCAGUAUCAGAUAGUCACUGAUAUAUCGGCCGAUAUGAUAUCAAAAUAUUGGCUAAGGUUUCCUGGCAUGCCUUUUAGAAUCUUUAAAUUAAUAUUUUAUUAUUACAUCUUCAAAUCACUGUCUUAAUAAGGAAAUUGGUGCAGGUCUACUAGAUUAAUCAGGGCCUUUGAGAUCUCAGUUCCUAUAAUAACGGUCGAGAUAUCAGAAUUCUUUCCUUUCUUCAUUUUUCUGAAUUUCCUAUCUUUGUGGAGAUAAACCAAUAUCUUGUCCAUCGCAAUAUCGGAAACCUUCUGGGAUGACUAAGAUCUAGGUAGUUAAAAAAUCCUGAUCAAAUCACCAAAAAUAACAUCCAUUAUUUGGUCAUGAUUGUUGCAAUACAGAGUUGCAGUCUUUAUUUUACGACUGUGCAACUCAGUUUGAGUUCACCUUUUCAGCCCAUGUGAGAUAAUGUGGGAAGGACAAGAUUCCCUUAAAUUACAAAACCGAACGAUGUUUUUGCUAUAGACAAAAUCAACCAGGAGAUCAACCCAAUAAGAAAUAAAACAAGUCUCUAGAUAUCAACAGUUAUGGACUGUACGUCGAAUGGCUCAAGUCAAUCCUGAAUAACAUGGCCAUUCAUGUAAUCAAGUCUGGCAAGCAAAGUUCACAGUGCUAACGUGUACCAUCCUGUACUAGAAAACACUGUACCAUAUUGGUACCAACUGAUGCUUGAUAUGAGGGGUAUACCAAGUGCCACUAUGCCGAAUUGCCCUUGGCACCAAGGGUUCUGACAUUGCACCAAGAUGGCACAGCUAUGGGAUCUAGUACCAAGAUUGUGAACUUCACUUGCAAGUCCGUUGGGUUUCCACAAUGGGAUCAUUUGGGAUAAAAAAUCACAGAAGAUUUAUGAAUCGACCAUCUACAAUUUGGAAGGAACGAAAAGAUGAGUUCAAAACAGUGGAUAUUUUACAACCGAGGAUUUGCCAAGAAACCAUAUAAUCCAAUUCGUUUCCCAAAAAAAUUAUGAAAAUCAAGUGAACCAAAAAUAGGAGGAAUAUAAAUCAGCACUAGUUAAUUAAGCUCAGCUUAAUGUCACUGGAAGUGUAGUUUUAGUAGAAAUAGAGAUAAAGAUGGGACGCCACUUAAGUUUGAUGGAUAUGGGAUCCCAUGAAACAAUCAGUUUCGUUAUCAGAAUUUAUUAAACAAAAUAAUGGAAAAAGAUGAAAGCAUAUGUGACAAAUCUAUAGCUGGUUGGAUGGAGGGGAGAAGUUCUUGAGGGCUAUUAUGUAAUUAAGACACAACUAAGGAAAAAAUUAGAAUGACAAUAAGACCUUGCAAUAUCAUAUGGUCUAGAAUAUUGGGUAAUAAAGAGGCUCCAGAAAACAAGUUAAAUGUAGCAAAUAUGAGGACAUACGCAAGUGAGAGAAUUUACAAAAACAGAGGAAUGAGUAUCCUCAAAGAGUUGUAUGAGUUAUCCAAAUAGGAAAUUAAGUGAUGGAGAAUUGGUUAUGAUGGUAUGGGCAAGUGUAAGAUAAGCUGAGGGGCUCUGUUAUUUGUCAAAAGAUAUAAUAAAUAGAAGGGAAGACCUGAGGUAACACAAAGUUGUGAGAGGGGAUAUAGAAAAGCUUGAUAAGAGGUAGCCAUAAGUAGGAAUGCUGGGUGAACAAGGAUUCUAAAAGCUGAACCCAUAAGUAAAAAUUCUGGGUGAACAAUGAUCCUAAAAGCUGAACCCAAAACAUCAGGACAUAGGUUAGUCAUGGUUGCGAGCAUUCCAGGUGAGUGCUGCUGCAGGUAAAACAUUUUCAACAUAUGGUACUUCAAAUUAUAGAUAGAUUCAUCGGGCAUCUCAAAUGGGGAAAAGAAUGAUGAUUUGUAGACAAACAUUUUCAAGGAGAUACAGAAGUGAUGUAUGGACCCCAAUAUGACUUGUCAAGAAAUGCAAGAAGGCUAAGUCUUUGGUAGAGAGGGAGAGUAGGAAUAGGAAUAGUAUUAUAUAUGAGAGGAACUAUUCGGGCAUGUGUUUAUUCCCACAUGUGGGUGUCCAUUGGGUAAGUCUUCGGUACUUAAGUAGGGCCAAGGACCCAAACCAAUAAACUUCUAGCUAGCCUUUUUGGAUGAGGUUGUGGGCUGUCAUAAAUGCUUUCAGAACUAACCCAGGCCACAGUGCUUUUGAACUAAUCAUAAACCAGUUGGGUUGUUUAUAAUUGGACCCUUCCCUUGAUGAGCCUGCUUUAGAUUAAAUGGGGAGAGUGUGGACCAAUGCAUGCAUUUAGUCCCACAUUUAGCGUGCGUUGGGUAGUCAAGCAAGGCUAAUGACUCCAGUUAACAACUUCAAUCAGGCCUUUUUAGGUGAGCUCCUGGGUCAUUACAGCAUAUUAGUUAAGAGUUCUUCAAUUGGUCUUAAUUUCCUAAUAAAGUUGGUAGGUUCAACCUUUACCAUGAAGCCCAGUGUCUGCUAAGAGAAUUAGGUGGUUAGAUUCAGCAAAAGUAGGAAAGCAGAAAAUUGCGGGGUUUUAUUAAAGUGUAAGGUAAGAACAAAUCAUUAUCAUAUAUCCUUUUAUUCCCCUUCAGAGUCUGUGGUUUUUACUUUGUCAGGGAGUCUUUACCGUGCAGUGAUGUUACAUGGCAGUACACUUGAUCUCAAGUUCAUCUCUUUCUUUCAAGUGCAAGCAUGUCCAAAAUGUCAAGUACUACAAGUCUACAACCAUUAGGGGGCAAAUAAGGAAAACUUUUGCUUAAAGGAGUUAUUACAGGUUUAUAAGAUGAAGUUCAUGCAUAAAUGACUUCCAUGGCAAUGAACAUAACAAAUGUGAAUGACUAAAAUAUCAAAAAAUGACUAAUGAUAUUCCAAUAAAAUUACAAAUCACUAUGGCCACAAGUACCAAUAAAAAAUGAUUAAAAAAAAUAUUUAAGAAUAAGUAGAUCCAGAUUUCUCAUACAAAUAAUACGCAUACUCAUAAUGAAAUUUAACAAAAACUGUUGUUUAUAGUUUAAAGAAUAAAAAACAUUUUUCUCCUUAUUUUGCUAAAAUAUUUGUUCCUAAAAUUUGUAAGCUUUAUUUAUAAAUUGCUUGCAUGCACACUAACAUCUAACAAAUUCACUUUUAGGGAAUUUUAAUUAAUAGGAUAACAAUCAAACCCAUUUUUCAUAAUUUUAUAUAAUUAAUUUUGAAAUGUAUGGAAGGAAAGCAAAUUAAGUAAAUCACUAAAAUCAAGUUUCUCUUAAAUAUCUCGAAAUUGAAUACUAAGGUUUCUUUGCCUUUCAAAACAUUAAAAAAAAUCCAGAUUUGAUCUUGCUAGUUCAGUCUAUCACCUGUAAGCAAUAUCUUACUGCAAAUGUAAGAUAAUUAAAGCAAACACCCUUAAAUGAGACUCAAGGCUUUCUAUGUGUUGAAGUCAUCAAAAAACACUGAAACUAGUCAAUUCCAAAAUAUAUUAACUGAAGCCAAUAAAACCUCAAAACUUUAGACCUAUUCCAACUGAAAUAGCCCCCGCCAAAACCCAAAACAUACACCAAACAACUCCAGCCUCUCUUAGCUUCAAAUGGUCCUAGACAAAUCCUAUCUCACCUAUGCAACAACAAAAAUGUCAAGAAACACUGUCUUUAAGGGAAUCAUCAAUGCAAAGAGUGCCUUCAGCUUAAUUCAUCUUAUAAGGAGUAUUAUUUAUCAGAAUGACAUUGCACUACAGUCUGUGCACCUAUAUUUUCUCUGUGAAGUUGUGAACCAGAGAAAUUUAGGUACAGCAUUGUUGAAGGCAGCUACUACAAAAAAUAUUAUAAACUAUUGGUUACGGAUGCAUGACACAACUAGGGAGAAGUAGAAGCCCUACCAGGUUAGUGUAACAAGCUAUAACUAAGAAGAACUUCCACCAGAUUUGCACCUCUAACCACCUUUAAUAGUGAAAGACUAGCUUAGAAUAGACUUAAACUUUCCCAAGUAUUAAGCUCAAAUCCUGUUCAUCUUUUUGAUGUGAUAGGUUGAUCACACCUUCAAAAUCUGCAUGGCUUCUUCAUAGAUAUAAGAAGCAGCAUGACUUCGAACAAAGACUGUACCAGAUGAUACUUGGACUACUCUGUUAAUUUAUAAUACAAACUGGAUUUCAAAAAAAAUCAACAUAUUAUGGAUUUUGUAAAAAUUCAGCCUAGUCAAUAUAAGCAUACAAGAUUCUGAAGUUUCCCAAGCAACAUGCAUACCUUGAACAAUGGUCCACUCGCCAUUGCGACAUGUCACAGGAAAUGAAUAAAUAAGCCCAGCUGGUACAUUGUAUGAACCAUCAGAAUACACUCCCAUGGAAACCCAUGUUCCCUGAGACAGCGGAAGGAAAAUAUUUAGCGAACUUCACAACAAACAAGCCAACUGAAUCAGAUAAAAGACAGCUGAACAAUGGUCCACUCGCCAUUGCGACAUGUCACAGGAAAUGAAUAAAUAAGCCCAGCCGGUACAUUGUAUGAACCAUCAGAAUACACUCCCAUGGAAACCCAUGUUC
rnacentral:lncRNA from 1 species